UACGAAGGGGGGCUAGCGUUGCUCGGAAUGACUGGGCGUAAAGGGCGCGUAGGCGGUUUGGACAGUCAGAUGUGAAAUUCCUGGGCUCAACCUGGGGGCUGCAUUUGAUACGUUCGGACUAGAGUGGGGAAGAGGGUCGUGGAAUUCCCAGUGUAGAGGUGAAAUUCGUAGAUAUUGGGAAGAACACCGGUGGCGAAGGCGGCGACCUGGUCCUUGACUGACGCUGAGGCGCGAAAGCGUGGGGAGCAAACAGG
rnacentral:rRNA from 1 species